UUAUCCAUAUAUCGGAUUAAGCUGAAUUUUUAACAUGUUGUUUCUGUAUAUGCAAGCAACUUACUGGGCUCCCAUAUUACUUCAUAGAAGCACAGAUUAGAGAGUUGCUUGAAUCUUUUGGUCCCCUUCGUGGUUUCGAUCUGGUGAAGGACAGGGAAACAAGGAACUCUAAAGGAUACGCCUUCUGCGUUUACUAGGAUCUCUCAGUUACAGAUAUUGCUUGUGCUGCUCUAAAUGGGUGAUAAAACUCUUACUGUUAGACGAGCGAACCUGGGCACCGCUCAGCUAAAACCUGAGCAGGAAACGUCUUAAUACAGGCACAACUACAGGUCGCGUGGCAGAGGCAAUUGUUCCAAACCGGAGGUGGUCUAGGUGGUGGUAAUGGAGGUGGCAUUGCUACCAAGGUCGUAUGCCUGACAGAGGUGGUUACUGCAGAUGAGCUUAAAGAUGAUGAAGAGUAUGAAGAUAUUUUGGAAGAUAUGAGGGUAGAAGGUGGAAAAUUUGGUACAUUGAUGAAUAUUGUCAUCCCCCGUCCACAACCUAACGGUGAACCCUCUCUAGGACUUGGAAAGGUUAGUUUCAGUGUAAGGUAUUGUUAAAUGACACUCUUAGGUUGACUGUUACUUUGUAUUAUAAAAUUUUGACUGUUACUUUGUAUUGCUAAAUGACACUCUUCUCCUGUAGGCUUUCGUUGAGAACUACGACACUUCAUGUCUAAGCCAGUGCCUCUACGGUAUCAUCUACCACUAUGUUUCUCAUAAUCGGUGUUAGGUUUACCAAGAAGAGAGUGUGCAGCAAAAACGGAUCAUUUCCAUUUAGCAAUGUAACCCAGACUACCAUGCUGGAACGUGUAUGCUACUGUCAUAUUUGUAGGGAAGGCCAAUAUCUGUGUUUUACGAUUUAUAUGAUAUUUUUAGUCAUGUUCAAAGAAUCUAUCAUUUUAUUUUCUUUCGUUGAGCAACACACUUUCAUACAAGGUGAUUUGAAGUUAGCUAGGUAAUGCAAUUGGAGUGGUAGGUUAACUUGAAUGAAUGUAAAUGUGCUACACUGGCAUGUUAAUGUGAAUGUGAAAUACUUUCGGCAAUUCAUGCAAUUCGGUUUCAGCUAUAA